CUCGAGGGGUACCCCUUUAUUCCAGGUAUUCUUCUCAAAAUGUCACACGCAAUGAUGCAAAUUCAACACAAAAAUCCUUGUUGUGGAUAUCAUUUCCUUCAAAACAAAGUCAUCCUCUUUCUCUCUCUCUCCCUCUCUCUCUCUCUCUCUCGCUCUCUCUCUCUCUACCAUCAUUUGCCAGUUACAAUCACACUCUUUUCAUGACAGAGGAGGAGGAGGAGGAAAUCCACAUGAUCUUCAACAACCAACCCAAAUAAUCCCAAAACCAGAUAGCCAACUUUCUGCUCAAAUGGGGCUUCAAAGCCGUCGCCUUUGAUAUCAGAUACGCCGGUAGAUUCGCAGCAAUGCCUUCAGGCUUCACGGUGUAGUUGCUGACUCAAAGGGUCCCUUCCAAUUCAUCUGCAGAAUCGGAUUUCGUUUGCGUUGUUCUUCUGCAGGAACAUCGUUCUUGCAUCAAGAUCCAUUUACCGAGUAUAUGGAACUAUGUUAAGCUUUGUAAGGGGUGCUCUCAUCUCCGGCUCUACCGGCACCCAGGACAGGAUGGAUGCACCAAUUUCAUGAGGGCAAGCCCCGGGCAUCUGCCUGGUGUGGUAAAGUGCACUGAUCGAAUUCAUACAGCUCGAAUUACUGCAAUUCAGUCCAACAAUCGCUUCGUGUUCAGGAAAAGGAAUUUGUUUGCUUUCUUGGCAGGAUUUAUGUAAGCGGUUUAAACGCGGCAUGAGAUCAACACUGUAAGCUAUAAAUCUCCAGCUUCAUACAGGAGGGACUGAAUCAGGACAAGUUCAUAACAUGAAAUAAGACGAUGAAAUCAACAAAAUUGUACAUUUCUAGAUGUCAUCUGCUAUAAGCAACUUUACAUUUGAGCAACAAUCUAUCAGGUUCAGACUAUUAACUGCUGAAACAAAGAGUCUCUUCUCAAACCGUAUCUGGAACACUAAAUCGAGAUGUUUUUACAGAUGGAUGUGCCUAAAGUUACGCAUGAAAAACCCUAAAUUCGAUCAAACAGAAAGCCUAUGUAGUCGACAUCAUCACCGCAUGUGUUCCUGCUGCCUUCAAAGCCGACCAGCCAAAGAUCAUCCCAUUGUGGACUCAAAGUCUGUACCGUGAUGCUUUCAACAACGCUACUUGUUCCCGUUGCUAUCCAUCCAUUGACCGACUGUGCAGAAACGUGUGCUCUCCAUCUGCUUUGAAGAAAAAAUAGAAAGAAAUAAGCAGAAUUCAAACAGCUUAAUCACAAAUCAUGGUCAUAACGUUUGUUCAUCUUCCCUUAUUGCAAGUAUGCAUAAACAAAUGUAUUGGGGGGAGGUGGGGUGGGAACCGGCAGGACAGUAUUUGGAUCUGGUGUGAUGCUCGUAUAAUUAUUAUCGAGUAAUCCAUCCAUCUUGAGGGAUCCAUUUUAUUUACGAGUCUUGAUUAAUAUAACAAGGUCUCAGUCAUUUUGUACA